GCCUAGCUCAGUUGGUAGAACAUGAGACUCUUAAUCGCAGGGUCAUGGGUUCAAGCCCCAUGCUGGGUG
rnacentral:tRNA from 1 species